rnacentral:rRNA from 1 species
AUUGAACGCUGGCGGCAGGCCUAACACAUGCAAGUCGAGCGAGCGGCGGACGGGUGAGGAAUGUAUGGGGAUCUGCCCGAUAGAGAGGGAUAACUACGGGAUACGGUAGCUAAUACCGCAUACUAUCGGAUGAACCCAGAUGUGAUUAGCUAGUAGGGGAGGGAAUGGCUCACCUAGGCGACGAUCCCUAGCUGGUCUGAGAGGAUGAUCAGACACACUGGGACUGAGACACGGCCCAGACUCCUACGGGAGGCAGCAGUGGGGAAUAUUGCGCAAUGGGCGAAAGCCUGAUGCAGCCAUGCCGCGUGUAUGAAGAAGGCCCUAGGGUUGUAAAGUACUGUCAGCGGGGAGGCGUUACCCGCAGAAGAAGCACCGGCUAACUCCGUGCCAGCAGCCGCGGUAAUUC